rnacentral:sRNA from 20 species
UAGUGGAGUUAUACAAAACAACAUUAGCGAAGUUAAAAUAAGGUUUAAUCCGUAAUCAACAAGUUUUAUCUUGCGCGCGCCGUUUCGGCGCUUUUUUU